rnacentral:rRNA from 1 species
UACGUAGGGUGCGAGCGUUAAUCGGAAUUACUGGGCGUAAAGCGUGCGCAGGCGGCGCGUUAAGACAGGUGUGAAAGCCCCGAGCUUAACUUGGGAAUUGCGCUUGUGACUGGCGUGCUGGAGUGUGGCAGAGGGAGGUGGAAUUCCACGUGUAGCAGUGAAAUGCGUAGAGAUGUGGAGGAACACCGGUGGCGAAGGCGGCGACCUGGUCCAUUACUGACGCUGAGGCGCGACAGCGUGGGGAGCAAACAGG